GGUGGAGUGGUGAAGUGGUUAGCACACCCGCCCUGAGAGUGGAAGGCCCAGAGUUUAAAUCCUGGCUGCACCG
rnacentral:tRNA from 1 species